UCGACGUAUUCCACCUCAUUCGGAUCGGUGUUUGUAGGACCAUAGUCGGAGCUUCCUAGCCCCCUUCUCAUCUCUUUCGGUGGUUAGUGUUCUGAUGUCCCGAAAUAGAUAAUCUUGAAGUAAUUCUUGAUUCUUAGAUCAACUAGAGAACUCUCAGGAAACUUCCUCUCUUCCCACCAAAAAUAAUUAUAUAGUUAUCUUUGGGCGAUCUUGGAUCUUAAUUAGUACACUCACGUUCUCUGUGGAAAAUCGAUACUCUGGAAUACUCCCGGGUGAAAGCUACAUCGGUAUCCGUGUGCUUGCAGAUUUUUAUGUUUGCGUUUAAAAUACCCAACAAGCUUUCUGGCGCCGUUGCCGGGGAACGGUAGCUGUGCUAGUUUCGAACCAAGUCGUCCGUGUAUCCUUUUUAUUUUCUUUUUUUUACCACACUCACCAUAUCACUUUCACCAUACCAUAUGGAUUUCAUUCUAAGCAUUAAUGAGCAUGGAAUUUAUUUCAUAGCCACUUCAUUUACUCCAUGCUCAUAUGCAACAUCUUCACAAUCCAUUGGUCUCUCCAACAUCACCACAUUCAAGAUCUCCAACCCCCUCAUUCUUUCUAUUUAUAAAACUUUAAAAGGGCGGUUGUCGAUGCAUAUGUCUAUAAUAAAUUUUGCAGAUCUCGUUGAGUUGAUCUUGAUAUAGGUCAGCGUUGGAGGGGAAACCACUUCACUGACAUAAAUUGAUGGUUUCCCAAGGACAAGCUUAGUGUCCUAAAACAAGCACUGAUCAGAUUGUAACAUGAGCUUUUAAUUAUUUGCAACAUUACCUUGUGUAUUG
rnacentral:lncRNA from 1 species